AGUGAACGCUGGCGGUAGGCUUAACACAUGCAAGUCGAACGGAAGCACAGUAAGAGCUGGACUUGACGGGGGGCGAGUGGCGGAAGGGGGGGGAAAACAUCGGAAUCUAUUUUUUGGUGGGGGGUAAAGUAGGGAAAAUAACGCAAAUACCGCAUAGCACCUAGGGGGGAAAGAGGGGGAUUUUGGGACCUUGGGCGAUUGAACGACCGAAGGGCGGAUUGGUUAGUUGGCGGGGUAAAGGCCCACCAAGGGGGCGAUCGGUAGCUGGUCUGAGAGGAUGAUCCGCCACACUGGAGCUGAGACACGGUCCAGACUCCUACGGGAGGCAGCAGUGGGGAAUAUUGGACGAUGGGCGCAAGCCUGAUCCAGCCAUACCGCGUGGGUGAAGAAGGCCUUCGGGUUGUAAAGCCCUUUUGUUGGGAAAGAAAAGCAGCAGGUUAAUACCCCGCUGUUCUGACGGUACCCAAAGAAUAAGCACCGGCUAACUUCGUG
rnacentral:rRNA from 1 species